UCGAAGGACAUGGUGCUAGACACAUCCCAUAAGCCUCCUGAUUGUCGACUAAUAGGAUGUAGGGGAUAUUGUUUACAUCAUAUUUAGACCAAUAUCUACAAUUCAAAGACCGAUCAAUAAUAGGUCCUAAAAUGCCAUUUAGUAUAGAUUGAGUAAUAACAUCUUAGGCAAGUUGUACAAGAGGCUUUGGAAAGAUGUCAAUAUUAAGUACUAAGGUAUAAACCCA
rnacentral:lncRNA from 1 species